GUCUGUACGCGUUUCCGUGUGUCCGUACGCGCGUGUGAGCAGCAGCGAUCCGAGUCCAGUCCCCUGGUCCAGUCACAGCUGAGAACGUGGGGGUUGGUUUGGUGGGGGUCGUGGUUGGAUUCGGUGGUCCUAAAGGGAUUUUGGACCCUAAAGGUUCCAUGAUCCCAUUUAGGGACGUGGUUUGGUGGGUGAUGCUGGUGGUGGAUGGAUUUGGUGGUCCUAAAGGGAUUUCCUGACCCUAAAGGUUCCGUGAUCCAAUUUAGGGAUGUGGUUUGGUGGGUGAUGGUGGGGAUGGAUGGACUUGGUGGUCCCAGAGGGAUUUCCUGACCCUAAAGGUUCCAUGAUCCCAUUUAGGGAUGUGGUUUGGUGGGCGGCAUCAAUGGUGGAUGGAUUUGGUGGACCUAAAGGGAUUUUGGACCCUAAUGAUCCCAUGGCCCUAUUUAGGGUGAUGGUCGGUGGCCAUGGUGGGGAUGGAUGGUCUUGGUGGUCCCAGAAGGAUUUCCUGACCCUAAAGGUCCCCUGAUCCCAUUUAGGGACGUGGUUUGGUGGGUGACCUUGGUGGUGGAGGGAUUCGGUGGUCCUAAAGGGAUUUCCCAACCCUAAAGGUCCCAUGAUCCCAUUUAGGGACAUGGUUUGGGUGGGCGGCAUCAGUGGUGGAUGGAUUUGGUGGUCCUAAAGGGAUUUUGGACCCUAAUGAUCCCAUGGCCCUAUUUAGGGUGAUGGUUGGUGGCCAUGGUGGGGAUGGAUGGAUUUGGUGGUCCCAGAGGGAUUUCCCGACCCUAAAGGUUCCGUGAUCCCAUUUAGGGACGUGGUUUGGUGGGUGACCUUGGUGGUGGAUGGAUUUGGUGUUCCUUAUGGGAUUUUGGACCCUAAUGAUCCCAUGGCCCUAUUUAGGGUGAUGGUCAGUGGCCAUGGUGGGGAUGGAUGGUCUUGGUGGUCCCAGAGGGAUUUCCCGACCCUAAAGGUUCCGUGAUCCCAUUUAGGGACGUGGUUUGGUGGGUGAUGCUGGUGGUGGAUGGAUUUGGUGGUCCUAAAGGGAUUUCCUGACCCUAAAUGUUCCAUGAUCCAAUUUAGGGAUGUGGUUUGGUGGGUGAUGCUGGGGAUGGAUGCUCUUGGUGGUCCCAGAGGGAUUUCCUGUCCCUAAAGGUUCUGUGAUCCCAUUUUGGGAUGUGGUUUGGUGGGUGAUGGUGGUGUGUGUGGUCUUGGUGGUCCCGAAAGGAUUUCCUGACCCUAAAGGUCCCCUGAUCCCAUUUAGGGAUGUGGUUUGAUGGAUGGCAUUGGUGGUGCUUGGUCUUGGUGGUCCUAAAGGGAUUUCCCAACCCUAAAGGUCCCAUGAUCCCAUUUAGGGACGUGGUUUG
rnacentral:lncRNA from 1 species